UCUUUUAGAAAAUAAUUUAAAGUCUAAUYUGCUCCAUGAUUAAAUUAAAUAGCUGCAGAAUUUUAACUGUACAAAGGUAGCAUAAUCAAUAGUUUUUUAAUUGAAAGCUGGAAUGAAUGAUUUGAUAAAGUAAAUAUUGUCUCUAAAUUAAAGAGUUUAUAAUUUUUUUUUUAGUUAAAAUACUAAAUUAAUUUUAAAAGACGAGAAGACCCUAUAGAUUUUUAUAUUUAUUUAUUAAUAAAUUAAAAUUAUAAAUAAUUUUUUAAUAAAAAAAAUAUUAAAUUGGGGUAAUUAUUAAAUUUAAUAAAUUUUAAAUAUUUAAAACAAAAAUUAUUGGAAUAAUUGAUCUUAAAUUUUAGAUUAAUAGAAUAAAAUACCUUAGGGAUAACAGCGUAAUUUUUUUAGAAAGUUCGUAUUAAUAAAAAAGUUUGCGACCUCGAUGUUGAAUUAAGAUAAAAUUUUAAAGUAGAGUUUAAAAAUUUUUGGUCUGUUCGACCAUUAAAAUCUUACGUGAUC
rnacentral:rRNA from 1 species